AAAUUAAUUAAUUCAUUACUAACUUUCAGCAUAAAAAUUUUUCUCAUUUUUAUCGAUUUAUUGUUUAUCGAUGAGAGAAAUAAAUGAAAACAAAAUAAAAAAUAAAUAUAUAAGGAGAGAAAUAUAUCGCAUUUGCCAUAGUAAAUAAAAAGAAAUAAGGAAAAAACAAGAAAAAUGUCAAAGAAGAAACAUAAAAGGUUGCGGAAACGCAAACUCUGUUAUACUUAACAAUGUCCACCUCGUUGAUGCAAGGCGUUUAUGAUCGACUUAUAUGAGUGAACAUGAAUCGAUAAAUUAACGUGCCAUCAUGUGUGUCUGAUGACACGUUCCAAGGCUUGUAACUGUAAUAAUAAAUUCCUGCAAAAAUG